rnacentral:lncRNA from 1 species
UGUUUUUCACUCUAAUUCAAGGGAAAUAAACAUGUUUUUUACAUGAUAGGGAAGACAAAUGACACAUGCUCCUUUUCAAUGGCAAAAUAAUUUCACUCCUUAAGAUAAGUGUUGGAAACAUGCACAUCUUAUUUGACACCUGAACAAGCGAUUGGAUUGCUUCCAGUAUUACAAGGACAAAAGGUCAUGAAACAUCAGUGUGAAUCUCAUAUCACAUCAAUUUGGAUUUUCCCUUUCAUAUCUGCAUUGUGUAAAGUUGGAUCAGAUUGUAAUAUUUAUAUGUAAUUUAGCAAAAGUUCUACCAAGACAUUAACUAUAGAAUCCAUAUUUAUUUCUUAGGUAAACAUUGAUAUUAUUUAGGAGUGAAAGACAUAUGCUAAGUAUGGGGCUUUGCUCGUAUCAUAGUACCACGUACGAACCAGCUGCACCGAGCUUAAUUACUAUUGUUCCGCUUGCUGCGAAGGGAUUCCCAUCUUAACUGGAUGGAGAUUACGUGUGUGGCGUAUGAAUUCGCUGGCCCGGAUCAAUCGGGUGGAUCCACUACUUAGCAGGAGGUACGUCCAAUCUCCCCACAGCGAGCAUGCGAUUAAAUGGAGCUGCGAUGGGAUCAGGCUUUAAUUAUUUGCCUGGCGCUGAUCAGGAAUUUUGUUCCUCGAAAAUGGAUUUGAUCCAGGAUGAAUUGAUGGUCGAUCUCUGAACCCCAGUUCCAGACAAGUUUGAAUAAUUAACAGUACAUGCGAAGGCAUAGGAGACGUGCUCGUACCUGUCCUGGCCGCGUAGCGCUGCAGGCCCACGUCACUAUCAUUCCUCGGGACGAGAAGACGACGAACACUCAAACUGGUGAACAAAAAGAAGGAAGUGACGGAAGUCAAGAACGAUCAAAAUCAAGGUCAGGGUCUGAUCGAUCCUCUGAUCCAAACAAACAGUGAAACGAGCGCUUUGGUUUCCACGUUAUUCUCUGCCUACAUGCGAACAUGGGCCAGACCUUCUUUUUUUUCUUUCUAUGUACGCAGUACACAAGGCUGAGUUUCAAAAAAAACAUGAUGACGUAGAUCAUGGUAAUUAUUGCUAAUUGAUAUUUUUCCUUCUAUGUACGCAGCAUACAAUGCCGAGUUUCAAAAAAAAUAUGAUGGCGUAGAUCAUGGCAAUUCUUGCUAAUUGAUAUGAUUAAAAUAGGCCAAGGUUGGAG